rnacentral:rRNA from 1 species
AUUGAACGCUGGCGGCAGGCUUAACACAUGCAAGUCGAGCGGGGGAAGGUAGCUUGCUACCGGACCUAGCGGCGGACGGGUGAGUAAUGCUUAGGAAUCUGCCUAUUAGUGGGGGACAACAUCUCGAAAGGGAUGCUAAUACCGCAUACGUCCUACGGGAGAAAGCAGGGGAUCUUCGGACCUUGCGCCACUAGAUGAGCCUCAGUCGGAUUAGCGAGUUUGUGGGGUAAAGGCCUACCAAGGCGACGAUCUGUAGCGGGUCUGAGAGGAUGAUCCGACACACUGGGCCUGAGACACGGCCCAGACUCCUACGGGAGGCAGCAGUGGGGAAUAUUGGACAAUGGGGGGAACCCUGAUCCAGCCAUGCCGCGUGUGUGAAGAAGGCCUUAUGGUUGUAAAGCACUUUAAGCGAGGAGGAGGCUACUCUAGUUAAUACCUAGGGAUAGUGGACGUUACUCGCAGAAUAAGCACCGGCUAACUCUGUGCCAGCCGCCGCCGUAC